CGUGUUUUAUAGCCCAGAAUGUGGCCCAUCUGGGGAAUGUUGCAUACCCUCUUGAAAAGAACAUCAAUUCUUCGGUUGUUGGGUAUUCUAUGAAACAAACAGAAAACAAGUAGCAAAUGGAAGCCUUAAAUUUAAACAUAUCAAUAAUUACACUAAAUGUGACACUGACUCCUCUGCCUCCCUCUUCCAUUGAUGAGGACCCUUGUGAUUACAGUGGGCCCAUCCAGAUGACCC